AUUUCACGUGUAGGGGUAAAAUCCGUAGAGAUGUGAAGGAACACCGGGGGCGAAGGCGCCUUCCUGGACGACUACUGACGCUGAGGCGCGAAAGCGUGGGGAGCAAACAGGAUUAGAUACCCUGGUAGUCCACGCCGUAAACGAUGAACACUAGUUAUUGGGGGUAUUGACUCCCUCAGUGACGCAGCUAACGCAUUAAGUGUUCCGCCUGGGGAGUACGGUCGCAAGACUAAAACUCAAACAAAUUGACGGGGGCCCGCACAAGCGGUGGAUUAUGUGGUUUAAUUCGAAGCAACGCGCAGAACCUUACCUAGGCUUGAACUCCUACGAAUCCGGGGUAAUGCCUGGAGUGUCCGCAAGGAAAUGUAGUGAGAGGUGCUGCAUGGCUGUCGUCAGCUCGUGUUGUGAAAUGUUGGGUUAAGUCUCGCAACGAGCGCAACCCCUAUCGUCUGUUGCCAGCAUUAAGUUGGGCACUCUGACGAGACUGCCUGGGUUAACCAGGAGGAAGGUGGGGAUGACGUCAAGUCCUCAUGGCCCUUAUGUCUAGGGCUACACACGUAAUA
rnacentral:rRNA from 1 species